UUUCCGUAGGUGAUCCUGCGGAAGGAUCAUUAAUGUGUUUGGGCCUCACGGCUCUUCAUUCCGACGCUGUGCGCCUUCGGGCUGCACGCUGAGGGAGCAUAUAUCCACCCCUGUGCACACACACGGUGGCGAGCUGGGUAACGGCUCGCCGCUGAUCUUUACACACGUCUAAAAGUCAUUGUAUGUUUAUUUGAGAUAAAAACACAACUUUCAGCAACGGAUCUCUUGGCUCUC
rnacentral:misc_RNA from 1 species